rnacentral:rRNA from 1 species
AUUGAACGCUGGCGGCAGGCCUAACACAUGCAAGUCGAGCGGUAGAGAGAAGCUUGCUUCUCUUGAGAGCGGCGGACGGGUGAGUAAUGCCUAGGAAUCUGCCUGGUAGUGGGGGAUAACGUUCGGAAACGGACGCUAAUACCGCAUACGUCCUACGGGAGAAAGCAGGGGACCUUCGGGCCUUGCGCUAUCAGAUGAGCCCAGGUCGGAUUAGCUAGUUGGUGGGGUAAUGGCUCACCAAGGCGACGAUCCGUAACUGGUCUGAGAGGAUGAUCAGUCAUACUGGAACUGAGACACGGUCCAGACUCCUACGGGAGGCAGCAGUGGGGAAUAUUGGACAAUGGGCGAAAGCCUGAUCCAGCCAUGCCGCGUGUGUGAAGAAGGUCUUCGGAUUGUAAAGCACUUUAAGUUGGGAGGAAGGGCAGUAAAUUAAUACUUUGCUGUUUUGACGUUACCGACAGAAUAAGCACCGGCUAACUCUGUGCCAGCCGCCGCCGUAA